GAUGAACGCUGGCGGCGUGCCUAAUACAUGCAAGUCGAGCGAACAGACGAGGAGCUUGCUCCUCUGACGUUAGCGGCGGACGGGUGAGUAACACGUGGAUAACCUACCUAUAAGACUGGGAUAACUUCGGGAAACCGGAGCUAAUACCGGAUAAUAUAUUGAACCGCAUGGUUCAAUAGUGAAAGACGGUUUUGCUGUCACUUAUAGAUGGAUCCGCGCCGCAUUAGCUAGUUGGUAAGGUAACGGCUUACCAAGGCGACGAUGCGUAGCCGACCUGAGAGGGUGAUCGGCCACACUGGAACUAAGACACGUUCCAGACUCCUACGGGAGGCAACAGUAGGGAAUCUUCCGCAAUGGGCGAAAGCCUGACGGAGCAACGCCGCGUGAGUGAUGAAGGUCUUCGGAUCGUAAAACUCUGUUAUUAGGGAAGAACAAAUGUGUAAGUAACUAUGCACGUCUUGACGGUACCUAAUCAGAAAGCCGCGGCUAACUACGUG
rnacentral:rRNA from 1 species